rnacentral:lncRNA from 1 species
UGCCGUCACUAUUUUUUAAUUUUCAACUGAUUCUUAGGUUUGUUUCCUUGUUUAAAGCAAAAUAUCGUUAUGACCUUAAUGGUUUAUACGCAUGCAUUGUGUGUGGUAUCAUCUCAUAUCAAACAUGAGUAGUAUAAUGAAAAGAACGAUAAUGACCAAAGAUAUGUGAAUUUUUAUUCGACUUUUUACCUGCAUGUGUGUGAAACAAGGCUAAAAUGCGUAUUUAGAUAAUGACAUUGAGAAUGGAAAAAGGGGAACGUGUAAAAGAGUCAGCCAUCCGAUCAUCGAGCAGACAACAGCCCAAAACCAAAAAUCUAAUGUAAUUAUUAUCUAAAAACCAUCUCUAGAAAUCAGAGGAGAGGGUUGGC